GCGGUCGUGGCGGAAUUGGCAGACGCGCAAGAUUCAGGUUCUUGUGUCCAAUAUGGACGUGGAGGUUCGACUCCUCUCGACCGCA
rnacentral:tRNA from 1 species